UUUAUAUUUUUUCUUGUAGAUGUCAGCAACAGCAGCUGAUGUAGAAAAAAGUUCUACACUUCCAGACUCUCCGAGACUGAUUGUCUUAGGUAAUGUGAAAUUCUCACUGCAACCCAGUGGAUGCCGAGUAUUGAGGGUCAAGUGUUUAUGAAUCCACACCCCAAUUUUAUGGCUGGAAUUGCUGCUUUGUUUGCAACUUACUACAACUUUAAUCUGGUGUACGAGCACGAGGCAUCCUGCACACUUGAAUUUGUUCAAAGAUGUUUUGUUGGAAUCAACCCAUCCACUGGUACCAAGACAGUCAAAAAAAAGUGGAAAGACCUCAGAGAAGAGGAACAACA